ensembl:snRNA U2 U2 spliceosomal RNA
AUCGCUUCUCGGCCUUUGGCUAAGAUCAAGUGUAGUAUCUGUUCUUAUCAGUUUAAUAUCUGAUACGUCCCCCAUCGGGGGACUACAUAUUAAAUGGAUUUUUCGAACAGGGAGUCGGAAAUGGGGCUUGCUCCGUCCGCUCCACGCAUCGACCCGGUAUUGCAGUACCUCCGGGAACGGUGCAACACUU